UGGGGAAUAUUGGACAAUGGGCGCAAGCCUGAUCCAGCCAUGCCGCGUGUGUGAAGAAGGCCUUCGGGUUGUAAAGCACUUUUGUUGGGGAAGAAAAGACCGUGGUUAAUAACCGUGGUUCAUGACGGUACCCAAAGAAUAAGCACCGGCUAACUUCGUGCCAGCAGCCGCGGUAAUACGAAGGGUGCAAGCGUUACUCGGAAUUACUGGGCGUAAAGCGUGCGUAGGCGGUUUGUUAAGUCUGUCGUGAAAGCCCCGGGCUCAACCUGGGAAUGGCGGUGGAUACUGGCAGGCUAGAGUACGGUAGAGGAUGGUGGAAUUCCCGGUGUAGCAGUGAAAUGCGUAGAGAUCGGGAGGAACAUCUAUGGCGAAGGCAGCCAUCUGGACCAGUACUGACGCUGAGGCACGAAAGCGUGGGGAGCAAACA
rnacentral:rRNA from 1 species